rnacentral:rRNA from 1 species
GAUGAACGCUGGCGGCGUGCCUAAUACAUGCAAGUCGAGCGAACGGACGAGAAGCUUGCUUCUCUGAUGUUAGCGGCGGACGGGUGAGUAACACGUGGAUAACCUACCUAUAAUACUGGGAUAACUUCGGGAAACCGUAGCUAAUACCGGAUAAUAUUUUGAACCGCAUGGUUCAAAAGUGAAAGACGGUCUUGCUGUCACUUAUAGAUGGAUCCGCGCUGCAUUAGCCAGUUGGUAAGGUAACGGCUUACCAAGGCAACGAUGCAUAGCCGACCUGAGAGGGUGAUCGGCCACACUGGAACUGAGACACGGUCCAGACUCCUACGGGAGGCAGCAGUAGGGAAUCUUCCGCAAUGGGCGAAAGCCUGACGGAGCAACGCCGCGUGAGUGAUGAAGGUCUUCGGAUCGUAAAACUCUGUUAUUAGGGAAGAACAUAUGUGUAAGUAACUGUGCACAUCUUGACGGUACCUAAUCAGAAAGCCACGGCUAACUACGUG